AUGAUGCGGCGUCCCUUGCGGCGGCGGAACAGGUACACCGCCGCGCCCAGCGGCCACUCCACCACGCCGGUCACCACGAAGGCAACGAAUCCCAGCGUCGGCCCGACGACCUUGCACCGGCACGGGUUGCUCCGCGUCCCGCACUGCACGCACCCAGGCACGAACGCCAUCGCUGCUGCGUGUUCGUUCUACUAG
rnacentral:rRNA from 1 species